AUUGAACGCUGGCGGCAUGCUUUACACAUGCAAGUCGAACGGUAACAGGCCGCAAGGUGCUGACGAGUGGCGAACGGGUGAGUAAUGCAUCGGAACGUGCCCAGUCGUGGGGGAUAGCGCAGCGAAAGCUGCGCUAAUACCGCAUACGAUCUAUGGAUGAAAGCGGGGGACCGUAAGGCCUCGCGCGAUUGGAGCGGCCGAUGUCAGAUUAGGUAGUGGGUGGGGUAAAGGCUCACCAAGCCAACGAUCUGUAGCUGGUCUGAGAGGACGACCAGCCACACUGGGACUGAGACACGGCCCAGACUCCUACGGGAGGCAGCAGUGGGGAAUUUUGGACAAUGGGCGCAAGCCUGAUCCAGCAAUGCCGCGUGCAGGAAGAAGGCCUUCGGGUUGCAAACUGCUUUUGUACGGAACGAAACGGCUCUGGUUAAUACCUGGGGCUAAUGACGGUACCGUAAGAAUAAGCACCGGCUAACUACGUGCCAGCCGCCGCGGUAACAC
rnacentral:rRNA from 1 species